AGCUCCAAUAGCGUAUAUUAAAGUUGUUGCAGUUAAAAAGCUCGUAGUUGGAUCUCAGGGUGAGCUCAGUUGGUCGGCCUAAUUGGUCAGAACUGGCUGACUCUCCCUUGUUUCUGAAUCCCGGUCGGAGUUAAUUCUUCGUUCGUGGACUUCAGAUCGUUUACCUUGAAAAAAUUAGAGUGUUCAAAGCGGGCGUUUGCUUGAAUACAUUAGCAUGGAAUAAUGGAAUAGGACCCUGGUUCUAUUUUGUUGGUUUUGAGGACCAGAGUAAUGAUUAAUAGGGAUAGUUGGGGGCAUUCAUAUUUAAUUGUCAGAGGUGAAAUUCUUGGAUUUAUGAAAGAUGAACUUCUGCGAAAGCAUUUGCCAAGGAUGUUUUCA
rnacentral:rRNA from 1 species